UACGGGGGGGGCGAAGCGUUGUUCGGAAUUACUGGGCGUAAAGGGCUCGUAGGUGGCCAACUAAGUCAGACGUGAAAUCCCUCAGCUUAACUGGGGAACUGCGUCUGAUACUGGAUGGCUUGAGUUUGGGAGAGGGAUGCGGAAUUCCAGGUGUAGCGGUGAAAUGCGUAGAUAUCGAGAGGAACACCUGCGGCGAAGGCGGGUUGCUGGGCUGAUACUGACGCUGAGGCGCGAAAGCCAGGGGAGCGAACGGG
rnacentral:rRNA from 1 species